AAUUCCUUGUCGGGUAAGUUCCGACCUGCACGAAUGGUGCAACGAUCUGGAUACUGUCUCGGCCAUGAGCUCGGUGAAAUUGUAGUAACGGUGAAGAUGCCGUUUACCCGCAACGGGACGGAAAGACCCCGUGAACCUUUACUAUAGCUUCACAUUGGUAUUGGGUAAAUGAUGUGUAGGAUAGGAGGGAGACUUUGAAUUGGCGUCGCUAGGCGUUGAGGAGUCAUUGGUGAAAUACCUCCCUUUAUUUAUCUGAUGCCUAAUCUGGAAACAGAGACAGUGUGUGGUGGGUAGUUUGACUGGGGUGGUCGCCUCCAAAAGAGUAACGGAGGCUUCUAAAGGUUUCCUCAGCACGCUUGGUAACCGUGCGUAGAGUGCAAUAGCAUAAGGAAGCUUGACUGUGAGACUGACAAGUCGAGCAGGGACG
rnacentral:rRNA from 13 species